rnacentral:lncRNA from 1 species
GUGUGAAGCAGCAGAUAGAGGCCUUAGAAUUUUAAUUCUAGCUCCACUGCUUCUGAAGUGUGUGCGUUGGGGUAAACUCUAAGCUUUCAUCUCUCUCUGUGUAAAGUAUCUACCUUAGACAGCUACUUUGAGGAGUAAAGAAGAAAUAUUUUAUUCAUAUGGAAGUAUGUAUCUCACCUCUAUCAUUUCGUUUCCAUAUAUGGAUAUACUCUUCUGCACCAGUUUACUUUCUACUUUAGAAGUCUACUUCUAAACGACUUUCCAUGUGAGUAUUUAUUAUAUUUCACAAAAACUUAUAUAGUGCUUUCUAUGUGCCAGACCCUUGUCUAAGUGCCUUGCAAAUAUUGUAUCAUUUUAUCUUCAUAGCAACUUCAUAGCAAGAUGUCCUAUUCUUGUGUCCAUUUCAUAGACAAGCAAAGUGAGACAUAUGGAUAUUAUGAUGCUUGCUAUAGAUAACCCCAGCUAUAAAUGGUGGUGCCAAGUUUCAAACCCGGGUAUGAUUCCAGAGUCUGCACUGAGCCUUCAGAAUCUGCUCACUAAGCUGAGCUGCUGGUUUGCAUACAUAGUAUAUAUAAAUCUUGGUGGAUAAAUAGAUGUCACCUUUCUUAACAGCUGAGUGAUAUUCCCUUGCAUGAACGGC